GGCUCAGGAUGAACGCUAGCUACAGGCUUAACACAUGCAAGUCGCGGGGUAACAUCUGGGAGAGCUUGCUCUUCCAGGAUGACGACCGGCGCACGGGUGAGUAACGCGUAUCCAACCUGGCCCAUACCACGGGAUAGCCCGUCGAAAGGCGGAUUAAUACCGUAUGCUGUCAUUAAGAUGCAUAUAUUGAUGACGAAAGGACUGGCGGUAUGGGUUGGGGAUGCGUCCGAUUAGCUAGACGGUGAGGUAACGGCUCACCGUGGCGACGAUCGGUAGGGGUUCUGAGAGGAAGGUCCCCCACAUUGGAACUGAGACACGGUCCAAACUCCUACGGGAGGCAGCAGUGAGGAAUAUUGGUCAAUGGGCGAGAGCCUGAACCAGCCAAGUAGCGUGCAGGAUGACGGCCCUAUGGGUUGUAAACUGCUUUUAUAAGGGAAUAAAGUGAGCCUCGUGAGGCUUUUUGCAUGUACCUUAUGAAUAAGGACCGGCUAAUUCCGUG
rnacentral:rRNA from 1 species